rnacentral:hammerhead_ribozyme from 1 species
AUCCAGAUGACGAGUCCCAAAUAGGAUGAAUUGCGCAACCUGGAU